UGGUGCUCCACGGAAUGCCGUGGACGCAUCAAUCUCCUCCGAACGGCGGCCAGCCCUCCCUCCGGCCACGUCCGACGGAAACGUAUUAAUAAAUGGAGGAGAGCAUGGGCCCCGCCGAGCCGGCCACCCACUGGUCCGCACGCUCCCUCCUCGCACGGAAGCGCUCUCUCAUACCUCCACCAAACCCUAGCUUCGCUUCUUCCCUUCUCCCACCUCUCAAACCCCCCAACUCCCUCUCGAUUUCUCGCUUGCCGAUUUGAUAGAGGAAUUAGUGCGGUGUUCCGCUGCCUAUCAUUCUCCAUUAAUCAGAUAAGCCAGGAAAAUGGGGGCCGCAGAGGAUGCCGAUGUGCCUCCAAUCCAGGAUGGGUUCCGCCAUCUGGAUAUGCAGUUCGACAGUGAAGACGCUGCAUACGCUUUCUACAAUACGUAUGCCGCUCGUGUCGGAUUCAGUGUCCGGAAGUCCAAAAUGUGGACGACUUCCAAGGAUGUUCUUGCGGCCAGGACAUUUCGUGUGCUCCAAGCAGGGCUUCCGCCAGAAGAAGAAGGGGUUCGAGCCGAAGAAGCCUCGGCCAGCGACGAGGACGGGCUGCCCUGCGUGCAUGACCAUCAAGAUUACUCCCAGCGGUAGAUAUCGUGUGACCGAAUUCGUGCCGGACCAAUAACCACCUGCUUGCGAACCCGUCGGCAGCUCACCUGCUCAGAUCCCACCGGUCAAAGUCAAAGCGAGAAUUGCGGAUGAUUCAGGGAUGCCGCCGGAUACUAGUGGCGAUCACCUGUUGAAGCGUAGGAAGGCGAUGCAGGUGGGUGACGCAGGUUGCUGUGCUCGAAUACCUUCAAAGACGCAAGUUGAGAAUCCGUCCUUCUUUUAUGCCAUACGAGUUGAUGGGGAUGAUAACAUGACUAGCUUCUUUUGGGCCGACGCAAAGUCCAUGAUGGACUAUCAGUACUUUGGCGAUGCGGUGUGCUUCGACACAACUUAUAAAGCAAAUGAUUAUGGUAGGCGUUUGCAUUGUUUGUCGGUGUAAACAAUCACAAGCAACGAUUAUCUUUGGCUCCGCACUGCUUUAUGAUGAAGUGUUGAAUCUUUUCCGGUGGCUGUUUGAUACCUUCAAGAAUGCAAUGCAUGAUAAACAGCCAAAGACAGUUCUAACAGAUAAAUGCAUGGAAAUAGCUGAUGCCAUUCAGUCGCAGCGUGGCCGGCCACAGCUCAUCGAAUAUGUGCGUGGCAUGUGUAACCAAAAUGCCAUGAAGCACCUAAAUCAAGUCUUUGAAAGGUUCGAAAACUUUUGCGCAUGACUUGGUCAAUGUAUUUUCGAUUAUGAAGAGGAAGAAGGAGUUCGUAUAUGCAUGGAGAGCAAUGGUAGACAAGUAUGAUCUCAAUGAUAAUGAAUGGUUGGCAAAGCUAUAAUGAAGAUAGGCUUAUGUGGGCUUUACCUUAUGGAAAACAAGUAUUUUGCGCAGAUAUCGGAAACAAUCUACAAAAGAAAACCUGGUCAGUCUGCUCAAGAAACAUUUGAGCCCACAACAAGAUUUUUGCCCUUUUUUGAGCAAUUAUGACACAUUACUGAAUGAGAGAAGGUGCCUGGAGUUACAAGCUGAUGUACAUGCUAGUCAAAAUUUCUUGAAAGCACCCUCUUUGGCGUAUGCUGAGCAAGCUGCAAAUGUUGUACACACCUGCAGUUUUUAAAGCAUUCCAAAUGAGUUUGAGAUUACAUGGACUGCAUGGUAUACCACUGUGGGAUGUUGGGGCAGUAUCAGAUUAUAAGGUGAUUGUUUGAUGAAAAUCUAUAGAGCAUUUUGUUAGAUAAUGACUCAUCAGACAAUUCAAUUUUUUGUAGUUGUUAAAAAUUUGAAUUUGCUGGAAUUCAAUGCCGUCAUGUGUUUAAAGUACUGGAUUAUAGAAAUAUCAAAACGAACUCUCCACCACGGUACAUCUUGAAGCGGUGGAGAAAAGAUGCUAAGCUGGCUGCUGUAAGAGACCGUCAUGAGUAUCCAUCUGCCCGACAGUUCCAAGUCACUCGUAGCAAAUCGUUAUAAAUUAUCUGUGGCUGCAAUUUUCAGUACAGUUGCAGCAAGGGCUGCAAGACAGUGGAAGCAUUUACAUUUAUUGAAAGCCAAUCAGAGUUGCUUCUGGAACAAGUAGAGCAUAUUUUGCAAACAAGAACUUUUGAGAUACCGCAAUUGACUAUCGCCUCAAUUAUACAACCACGGAAUCUGAUUGAUAGUGUAGUUGAAAGUCUAAAUCAUGAUAAUAACGCUGACACAAAUGUUAUCAUUAGUGCAACAAAUGGUAUAUCCUUUAUUUACUGAUCUACAGGUUCUGGAAACUAUGCUUGAUACUUUGUCAAUAUCAAAUCAGUACUUCUAAAUAUUUGCAGGUAUCUUAGGUUUCUGAUGCAUGUUUUCAGCCAUUCUAUGCCACUGCUUAAAUUCAGUCCAGACCAUGAAAUUUCCCAAAUGAUUGUUCUCUAACAAGAUAUAAAGACAAUACAGAUGAAGACUACUCUGACAGGGAGGACUUUGAAGGCGAGGAAUUUUUGAAGAUUUGUCUGAGAAAGAUUGGAUAUUGUUGACUUUAGUGGACAUGUAUUCCCUGCAAAUGAGGCUUCCUGAGCCAUAGAUUGAUGUGGUCCAAAUGCUUCUCUUUUGGAGCUAGCAGAUUCCAUACAUGCUGAGCAGAUCACAGAAGAACCUGAUUGUCAUUUAGGAGAAUCUCCUAUAUGAGGUUCUGCUGAAGAGAUAGGUAAUAAAGGAGGUAUGCCACAGAAGACAAAUGGCAAGAGGAAAUGUUUGCUGGCUGACAAUGAAUCCAUGAUCUGUAUUCCAGAUCCAACCAUUGGAAUUGGGCUUCUGAAUCAGAGUAUGCAUAUUGCAACAAGAAAGGUACCUGAGGCAGCUACAGGUCCACCAUACUUCUAAAAUGUGGCCCUAGCACCAGGAGAUAGUUGGGAAAGAAUCUCAUGAUUCUUAUAUGACAUUGAGCUGGAGUUCAUGGACUGAAAUUGCUUUUGUGCUGCUGCCCGAAAGAGAGCUUAUGUUCAGCAACCUGCCAUCCAUGAUGGAUCUCCUCUUCGUCCCUUCUCAAUUCUCAAUCAUUUCUCAAAAAAAUCAUUUAGUGAUUUAUCAUUUGACACUGUAUUGGCCAACUGCUGGUUGGCAGAAAGACUAAGACAUACUUUAUGUGAUUCUUUGGCUAGAAUAUCAAUUAUUUAUUAUGCUAAUAUCGAUGUUGAUCACAUGCCUCAAUACCCAUAGGCAUACUAAUCUCCCGGCAUUCACACCAAACUGUGGCGAUGGAAGAAGUCUUCAACUGGACGACCAAGAGCAGUGGCUUUGGUGUUUGGGAUAUGUGCUACACUAGGAUAUUUUUGAUACAUUGUGCUACUUUUCUUUCUGUCAGAUUUGUGGUUUAGGUGCGGACUUAUGAAGAUUCUCUUUGAGAGUGUAUUUUGUUCUCUGAAAUUUUCUGAGGUACUGAGAUCGGUUUACUGUUCUGUUUUUCCAAGUACGAACCAUUUUCUUGUCUUGGAACAUAUAAUUACAAGAUGCCUCUAUAGGUAGGUUUCAUGGUAAACAUUGAAAGUAACACUGAUCAGUAUUGUGCCCUAGGUUCUAGCAGAGUUCUAAUCCUCUACGGUAAUGCAUGUCUAGAUGGAUGGCUGUUACCCAUUGUACUAGCUUGAGAGAUGGUGCGACAACAAUCCAUUUCCUAAUUAUGGUAGCUUGAGAGAUGAUCGACAGCCAUCCAUUUUUGAGAAGGGCGACGUGUCAUCCAUCCAAAUAUGCAUUGCGGUGCAAAAUAUGCAUAUCAGAGGAUCUCGGCUUGCAGAAACCAUGGUAUGGUUCUUAUCAGGGCGUUUGCUGACCACUGGCUCUCAGUGGCUUUGGCCAUUGCCUACAGAUAGGAUUCUCACCACCCAUCAGGUAUGAAAACAUUGUCAUUGGUUGCCAUGUUUACAGGAGCUUCACCCAGGGUCUUCCAAGACCCUGAUUUCACUUGAGAACGUCGACUGUUACACCUCCAAUUGCUGUGUCUGGAGUCUGGACCAGCAGAUCCCGCCACCUUCUUAACAAUUUUCGACCCUGGUACUGCAGGAUAGAUAACCUUUCUUGCCCAUUUAACCGAACAAUCUUCUUUUUGGUUUGAAUUGUAACAUCAUUGAGAAAAAGACACUUCAGACUAUUUGUGUUCAUUUAGAGUUCCAACUGAA